UCUGCCCGCUGGCGGCGUGCCUAAUACAUGCAAGUCGAGCGAACAGAUGAGGAGCUUGCUCCUCUGACGUUAGCGGCGGACGGGUGAGUAACACGUGGAUAACCUACCUAUAAGACUGGGAUAACUUCGGGAAACCGGAGCUAAUACCGGAUAAUAUAUUGAACCGCAUGGUUCAAUAGUGAAAGACGGUUUUGCUGUCACUUAUAGAUGGAUCCGCGCCGCAUUAGCUAGUUGGUAAGGUAACGGCUUACCAAGGCAACGAUGCGUAGCCGACCUGAGAGGGUGAUCUGCCACACUGGAACUGAGACACGGUCCAGACUCCUACGGGAGGCAGCAGUAGGGAAUCUUCCGCAAUGGGCGAAAGCCUGACGGAGCAACGCCGCGUGAGUGAUGAAGGUCUUCGGAUCGUAAAACUCUGUUAUUAGGGAAGAACAAAUGUGUAAGUAACUAUGCACGUCUUGACGGUACCUAAUCAGAAAGCCACGGCUAACUACGUG
rnacentral:rRNA from 1 species